rnacentral:tRNA from 1 species
GCAUCCAUAGCUCAGCUGGAUAGAGUGCUGCCCUCCGAAGGCAGAGGUCGCACGUUCGAAUCGUGCUGGGUGCACCA